rnacentral:tRNA from 1 species
CCCGAGGUCGCCAAGUGGUUAAGGCAGGGGACUGUAACUCCCCCAUCGGGAGUUCAAAUCUCUCCCUCGGGACCA